UGGGGAAUAUUGCACAAUGGGGGAAACCCUGAUGCAGCGACGCCGCGUGAAGGAAGAAGUAUCUCGGUAUGUAAACUUCUAUCAGCAGGGAAGAUAAUGACGGUACCUGACUAAGAAGCCCCGGCUAACUACGUGCCAGCAGCCGCGGUAAUACGUAGGGGGCAAGCGUUAUCCGGAUUUACUGGGUGUAAAGGGAGCGUAGACGGAGAGGCAAGUCUGAUGUGAAAGGCAGGGGCUCAACCCCUGGACUGCAUUGGAAACUGUUUUCUUGAGUGCCGGAGGGGUAAGCGGAAUUCCUAGUGUAGCGGUGAAAUGCGUAGAUAUUAGGAGGAACACCAGUGGCGAAGGCGGCUUACUGGACGGUAACUGACGUUGAGGCUCGAAAGCGUGGGGAGCAAACAGGAUUAGAUACCCUGGUAGU
rnacentral:rRNA from 1 species